CGCCACCUCAUGACUUACGACCAGGGCUACACACGUGCUACAAUGGCGCAUACAAAGAGAAGCGACCUCGCGAGAGCAAGCGGACCUCAUAAAGUGCGUCGUAGUCCGGAUUGGAGUCUGCAACUCGACUCCAUGAAGUCGGAAUCGCUAGUAAUCGUGGAUCAGAAUGCCACGGUGAAUACGUUCCCGGGCCUUGUACACACCGCCCGUCACACCAUGGGAGUGGGUUGCAAAAGAAGUAGGUAGCUUAACCUUCGGGAGGGCGCUUACCACUUUGUGAUUCAUGACUGGGGUGAAGUCGUAACAAGGUAACCGUAGGGGAACCUGCGGUUGGAUCACCUCCAAAA
rnacentral:rRNA from 1 species